rnacentral:rRNA from 1 species
GACAGAGGUGCCAAGCGUUAGGCGGAAUCACUGGGCUUAAAGCGUGUGUAGGCGGGUGCCUAAGUACCUUGUGAAAUCCCACGGCUCAACCGUGGAACUGCUGGGUAUACUGGGUGCCUUGGGUCAUCUAGGGGCUGCCGGAACAAAUGGUGGAGCGGUGAAAUGCGUAGAUAUCAUUUGGAACGCCAACGGCGAAAGCAGGCAGCUGGGGGAUGCACCGACGCUGAGACACGAAAGCCAGGGGAGCGAACGGG